UUGAACCUGGCAGCCUUAGCUUCGUUAACGGCGGCCGAUCGACGCGUAGCGGUGAAAUGCGUAGAGAUCUGGAGGAAUACCGGUGGGCGAAGGCGGCCCCCUGGACGAAGACUGACGCUCAGGUGCGAAAGCGUUGGGAGCAAACAGGAUUAGAUACCCUGGUAGUCCACGCCGUAAACGAUGUCGACUUGGAGGUUGUGCCCUUGAGGCGUGGCUUCCGGAGCUAACGCGUUAAGUCGAUCCGCCUGGGGAGUACGGCCGCAAGGUUAAAACUCAAAUGAAUUGACGGGGGCCCGCACAAGCCGGUGGAGCAUGUGGUUUAAUUCGAUGCAACGCGAAGAACCUUACCUGGCCUUGACAUCCACAGAACUUACCAGAGAUGCUUUGGUGCCUUCGGGAACUGUGAGACAGGUGCUGCAUGGCUGUCGUCAGCUCGUGUUGUGAAAUGUUGGGUUAAGUCCCGCAACGAGCGCAACCCUUAUCCUUUGUUGCCAGCGAUUCGGUCGGGAACUCAAAGGAGACUGCCGGUGAUAAACCGGAGGAAGGUGGGGAUGACGUCAAGUCAUCAUGGCCCUUACGGCCAGGGCUACACACGUGCUACAAUGGCGCAUACAAAGAGAAGCGACCUCGCGAGAGCAAGCGGACCUCAUAAAGUGCGUCGUAGUCCGGAUCGGAGUCUGCAACUCGACUCCGUGAAGUCGGAAUCGCUAGUAAUCGUGGAUCAGAAUGCCACGGUGAAUACGUUCCCGGGCCUUGUACACACCGCCCGUCACACCAUGGGAGUGGGUUGCAAAAGAAGUAGGUAGCUUAACCUUCGGGAGGGCGCUUACCUCCUGCCGUCCCUCCA
rnacentral:rRNA from 1 species